AUUGAACGCUGGCGGCAUGCUUUACACAUGCAAGUCGAACGGCAGCGCGGGCUUCGGCCUGGCGGCGAGUGGCGAACGGGUGAGUAAUGCAUCGGAACGUGCCCAGUAGUGGGGGAUAGCCCGGCGAAAGCCGGAUUAAUACCGCAUACGACCUGAGGGUGAAAGCGGGGGACCGAAAGGCCUCGCGCUAUUGGAGCGGCCGAUGUCGGAUUAGCUAGUUGGUGGGGUAAAGGCUUACCAAGGCGACGAUCCGUAGCUGGUCUGAGAGGACGACCAGCCACACUGGGACUGAGACACGGCCCAGACUCCUACGGGAGGCAGCAGUGGGGAAUUUGGGACAAUGGGGGCAACCCUGAUCCAGCCAUGCCGCGUGCGGGAAGAAGGCCUUCGGGUUGUAAACCGCUUUUGUUCGGGAAGAAAUCCUCUGGGCUAAUACCCCGGGGGAUGACGGUACCGGAAGAAUAAGCACCGGCUAACUACGUG
rnacentral:rRNA from 1 species